rnacentral:rRNA from 1 species
UGGUGGAGUGAUUUGUCUGGUUAAUUCCGAUAACGAACGAGAUCUUUUCUUAUUAAUUAAAAUGAAUAAUAUUUUUGAAUUAUUUUAUUUUUCUUAAAAGGACUAUUAACUGUAUUUAUUAUUUAAUUAAUGGAAGGUUGAGGCAAUAACA